UCCAAAGAACCCCUCCAAGUCUACCACUGGGCCUGUACCACUCCACCUCAGAGCACCCCGCCUCCUGGGCACCCUGCUGGAAGCCCCUUCCAGGCUGAGGUGACCUGCCGACUUGCCUCAGUCUGUGCUCAGAUAUUGCCACCCUCCCCGCCCUCAUCCCUCAGCGCUUCACGCCUGAAUGGUGACCUCUCUGCGCUGGCCACACCCUGUCUCAACCCACCCCUCCUACAUGCUCUCCAGGCCCCUCGCAUCCUGUCCCAUCCUCUGCUCUGGGAAGAGUGACGGCCCCUGCCUGUGGCCUGCUACUUUUCCAUGGCUUCCGGGCUUCCCAGAGGAAAAAACCAAGGCUCAAAGAGAAGACACUUGCCUAAGUCCACUCAGUAAAGAUGUGAUGGACUCAAGACCUCAGUCCAGGCCCAUCUGAAUGAAAACCUGAUGAUAUGUAUCUUCCCUGUGCAGGUCUUGCAGAUGCCAUGCUCUUUUUUGAGCACCUCCAGAACCAGGACUUGGAACAUAACAAGAAAGCGAAAGCUUUUCUUACACCGCUCAGAGCCUCCCCGUGCCCCAAAGCAGCGUCCAUCUGCACUGUCAGCAGCCGCACAACACACAGCCUUUGUGGCAUUUGGAUGCAGUCAUCCUUUGUGUCAAGGACAUAGAGCAAGAAAAGGGAAGUGAAUCCCUUCUGCCUCCUGGGGCCUGAGCAGUGUCAGUCACGAAAGUGGAUGUUGAGGGUUACAUGGGGUGUGCUGGGCCAAGUGACCAAGGCUCCAUGUAUCCUUUAAUAAAUUGUGUGCGUUUGUGA